AGUGAACGCUGGCGGUAGGCCUAACACAUGCAAGUCGAACGGCAGCACAGUAAGAGCUUGCUCUUACGGGUGGCGAGUGGCGGACGGGUGAGGAAUACAUCGGAAUCUACUUUUUCGUGGGGGAUAACGUAGGGAAACUUACGCUAAUACCGCAUACGACCUACGGGUGAAAGCAGGGGAUCUUCGGACCUUGCGCGAUUGAAUGAGCCGAUGUCGGAUUAGCUAGUUGGCGGGGUAAAGGCCCACCAAGGCGACGAUCCGUAGCUGGUCUGAGAGGAUGAUCAGCCACACUGGAACUGAGACCCGGUCCCGACUCCUAAGGGAGGGCGCAGUGGGGAAUAUUGGACAAUGGGCGCAAGCCUGAUCCAGCCAUACCGCGUGGGUGAAGAAGGCCUUCGGGUUGUAAAGCCCUUUUGUUGGGAAAGAAAAGCAGCAGGUUAAUACCCCGCUGUUCUGACGGUACCCAAAGAAUAAGCACCGGCUAACUUCGUG
rnacentral:rRNA from 1 species